CAAUGGCGUCCCCCUCGUCCUCGUCCUCACCAUUGGUGGAGGUGACAGGUGUGACAGGUGUGACAGCAGCUGUAGGGCCGCCCCUGUGCUAUGGUGAAGGUUGGUUGUCUCCCACAAAAAUCAACUGGAAAAAGGCAGCAAGGUGGACCACCACAUACCUGAACAUGGAGCAACAUCAGCAUUCAGUUGGAGUCGUGUUUCUGACGCCCUGGUGAAUUAACUUCAGGGAGGAAACGCUGCCUCAAUAAAGGUCCUAGGGCUGCUGUGAAACUGCAACAAAAGAAGUUGAUCUUGGGUGCGUCGGUACAUUGGACAACCAAGACAGGCCGGCAGAGGAGGUAGUCAAGGACUGAAACGUUUGCUGCUGUUUUUAUUCAUGCUUUUAUUAUUUUUGCAC